UAUAACCCCGUCCCGUGAAAU
rnacentral:siRNA from 1 species